AUCCAGCUGACGAGUCCCAUACAGGACGACACGAGCGUCCUGGAU
rnacentral:hammerhead_ribozyme from 1 species